AUUCAUCUGACGAGUCCCGAAUGGGACGAAGCCUGCGUCCUGGAU
rnacentral:hammerhead_ribozyme from 1 species